rnacentral:rRNA from 1 species
AACGAACGCUGGCGGCAGGCUUAACACAUGCAAGUCGAACGAGAAGCCUCAAGCUUGCUUGAGGUGGAAAGUGGCAGACGGGUGAGUAACGCGUGGGAAUUUACCCAGUGGUUCGGAAUAACGCAUGGAAACGUGUGCUAAUACCGGAUACGCCCUUCGGGGGAAAGAUUUAUCGCCAUUGGGUGAGCCCGCGUCGGAUUAGCUUGUUGGUGGGUAAUGGCCUACCAAGGCGACGAUCCGUAGCUGGUCUGAGAGGAUGAUCAGCCACACUGGGACUGAGACACGGCCCAGACUCCUACGGGAGGCAGCAGUGGGGAAUAUUGCGCAAUGGGGGCAACCCUGACGCAGCCAUGCCGCGUGAGUGAAGAAGGCCUUAGGGUUGUAAAACUCUUUCAGUGGUGAAGAUAAUGACGGUAGCCACAGAAGAAGCCCCGGCCAACUCCGUG